UCUGGAGUGGCAGAAAAUAUGCGCUGGAUUUAAGCUCCAGAAAUGAACAAUUUGUUCCUCCAGAG
rnacentral:tRNA from 1 species